AAAUGUCAAAUUUACCCUUAUAUUUGACGGGUAUUUGGAUGGAAUUAUGAAAAAGCUAAUUGCAGGGGCGAAAUUGGAGAAUAAAUUUAAUACAAAGGUUAAGUUGGUUGAUAAAUUAAUUCAUGAUGGUAAUUUUGACAGUUGAAAUAGUUCAAGGGGCAUGCGGCAAUUUACCCAUAAAUAAAAGAAUAGGCAAGGUACUUUAGUCGACAGCCACAGCUCCUUUGAAGGGAUCCAUUCAUUCACGGUUAACCCGCGUCAAUUGCUCAACCCCACCAGCUGGUUUAUUUAUGUAUAUUAAUACGAUUGGAAAUGAAACUUUAGUGCUAUUUUAAUGUCAAGUCAAUGUAUGAUGUAGGCCUAAGGUUAAGGCCAACUGGACUGGACUCGAGAGUCCGGAGUGAGUCGGGACUCGGGAGUUGGGGCAGGACCUGCUUGCUUCUUCUAGUUUACUCAAAUUAAUCCCAAAAAAACUCUUUGCCCGCCCUCUCCCGUUGAAGGCAAAGAUUCAGACAGACUGAGCCUGAGGCUCAUUGUUUACUUUACACUCUUCUUCUGAUUCAGUAAAGUCAACUACGCAUUUGGAUGAGUUUUUGGAUUGUCAACAGCAGCACAGCACAGCACAGGCCAAGCCAAGUUCAACUUUUUAAAUGACAUCGUCAAAACUGCCUGCCUGCCUGCCACUCCCAU